UCCAGACUCCUACGGGAGGCAGCAGUGGGGAAUAUUGGGCAAUGGGCGCAAGCCUGACCCAGCAACGCCGCGUGAAGGAAGAAGGCUUUCGGGUUGUAAACUUCUUUUAUGAGGGACGAAACAAAUGACGGUACCUCAUGAAUAAGCCACGGCUAACUACGUGCCAGCAGCCGCGGUAAUACGUAGGUGGCAAGCGUUAUCCGGAUUUACUGGGUGUAAAGGGCGUGUAGGCGGGAGAGCAAGUCAGACGUGUAAUUCCAGGGCUCAACCCUGGAACUGCGUUUGAAACUGUUCUUCUUGAGUGAUGGAGAGGCAGGCGGAAUUCCGUGUGUAGCGGUGAAAUGCGUAGAUAUACGGAGGAACACCAGUGGCGAAGGCGGCCUGCUGGACAUUAACUGACGCUGAGGCGCGAAAGCGUGGGGAGCAAACAGGAUUAGAUACCCUAGUACC
rnacentral:rRNA from 1 species